CAGGAGAUGGCACCAUUAACAAAAUAAUUUGAGUGCCACGUAUAAGAUCCUCUCGACCACCUCUACGUCUGAGUGCUCUGGCAACUCCAGGUGUUAUUUGGGUGUGAUCCUGUGUAUCAUUUAGCCAGGAAAUCCUCACAUGCCAGUCACCCCAGGCAUGGUGAGGGGGUCCUGCCCACUGCAUCACUGCUGACUUUUUGCUCCUGCUGGCAGAUCAGGACUUAGCAAACACAGGAAGAGGCUAGGAGAUACUGGGCAACAUUUUCCUCUCUGAUAAGCUGCCAUUAACUUGUAUGAAGACCUGAAUGCAGUGUCAGAGAAGGGCCGAUGUGAAGUGGACUAGCUCAAAUCACAGCUGCAAGAGCCAAAUGCAAAUACUUAAACACUCCUUCCCAGAGGAUGAAGAUGGGGAAAGGCUCUAUGUCUUCCCUCACAGAAUGCUUCAUCAGCUCCAAGCUUCUCAUGACACCUGCUUCAAUUUGUGA
rnacentral:lncRNA from 1 species